CCUACGGGUGGCAGCAGUGAGGAAUAUUGGUCAAUGGGCGCGAGCCUGAACCAGCCAAGUAGCGUGAAGGAUGACUGCCCUACGUGUUGUAAACUUCUUUUAUCAGGGAAUAAAGUGUGGCACGCGUGCCUGUUUGUAUGUACUUUAUGAAUAAGGAUCGGCUAACUCCGUGCCAGCAGCCGCGGUAAUACGGAGGAUCCGAGCGUUAUCCGGAUUUAUUGGGUUUAAAGGGAGCGUAGAUGGGUUGUUAAGUCAGUUGUGAAAGGUUGCGGCUCAACCGUAAGAUGGCAAUUGAUACUGGCAGUCUUGAGUACAGUUGAGGUAGGCGGAAUUCGUGGUGUAGCGGUGAAAUGCUUAGAUAUCACGCAGAACUCCGAUUGCGAAGGCAGCUUACUAACCUGCCACUGACAUUGAUGCUCGAAAGUGUGGGUAUCAAACAGGAUUAGAUACCCGUGUAGUC
rnacentral:rRNA from 1 species